rnacentral:rRNA from 1 species
UACAGAGGUGGCAAGCGUUGUUCGGAAUUACUGGGCGUAAAGGGCGCGUAGGCGGUCUCGUAAGUCCCCGUGUGAAAUCCCCUCGGCUCAACUGAGGGAACUGCACGGGAAACUGCUUGGCUUGAGUUCGGGAGAGGGAAGCGGAAUUCCGGGUGUAGCGGUGAAAUGCGUAGAUAUCCGGAGGAACACCGGUGGCGAAGGCGGCUUCCUGGACCGAUACUGACGCUGAGGCGCGAAAGCGUGGGGAGCGAACAGG